GCUAUUCUGAAGGGUGCUGUUCACUUCUGAAACUUUGUCAAAAGGACACAGUAAGGCAAUAAGCAGAAAGGAAGCAGCAAAAGCUGAGCAUACUAAACUGCGGUUGAGUUCCUGGACGAUGCUGAGCAUUUUGUGCUGGGGUGUAGUCUCGGCUUUCUUUGGAGAAGCUCGCUCUUCCUCAUCCCUGGAGCCAUGAGGCAAGGCCAGUGACGCGAGUGUUCAGACACUCGUUACUUCUAGGCAGGAGCAGCAGAAAUGAUCCUUCUCACUCUAAUUGCAACCACCCCAGAAGCCACAUGGUAAGUCAGACCGUUGUAACCCUGAGCAGAGCAAAACCUGCUUUCCCAGAGUGAGCAGGGUUCCCUGGUGAUAGCAGUGAGACACUGAAGCAGCCUCAGCUGAGGGCACAGGAAUUUGGGGGCGGUUUGUUCCCACUACACAGCCUGGUCAGUGCUGAAUAAUUCAGGAAGGGUUCCGGCUUCCUCUUUCUACCAAGAUUUCUGAGGAUCUGAACUUAGAUACCCCAGAAAGGGACUUCAAAUACCCCCCAGUGCUUCAGUUAACAGGAACCUGAGGACAUGAUUGAGAAAGAAAGGUCUGUCAACAGCUGGAAGACAUUAGAACUCAGGGUACCUCUAGUAUUAGUCACGUGAUUCUUUCUUGUAGAUGUGUGGCUACUAUAAGGAAAGGGAGGCUCCCUAACCCAAAAAACACAAACCAAGAAAAGAGGUAGGAGGGACUCCCCCCACAGAAAAUACAGGAAGGGAACCCUUUGGGCACAUGAGGAAGAGACACGGGCAUGGCUACUGUGCAAAAAGACAAGGAAGCAGCGAAUCCAGACUCCAGUGGGGAGACGUCCAGGAAGAAGAAGGCAGAGAGAGCCUGAUGAGCAUGGGGUUGGAGGAGUGGAGGUUUGGAGAGGGUUUAGCAUAUAUGGACGAACAGCGGAUGGAAAACGAAGCAAAUAAAAAAGCAAUUCUAUUUCCAGCUUUCUUCGGUUAUUUGUCCUUUCCGACAACAAUUAUACAACCCAGAAAUGCAAUACUGUAUGCAUGUGGCUGGGCUGGGAAGAGCAGAGGUCGAGUCUUCAGAAUGCAAACACUGAACAUCGAUCAACUAGAAACGUGUGGCAGAAAAACCGUAGAUUUUAGCACUUGCAGUAGAAGCCAAGAAAAAAAAAAAAAA
rnacentral:lncRNA from 1 species